CGCUGGCGGCAGGCCUACACAUGCAAGUCGAGCGCGCCCUUCGGGGUGAGCGGCGGACGGGUGAGUAACGCGUGGGAACGUACCCUCUUCUGCGGAAUAGCCACUGGAAACGGUGAGUAAUACCGCAUACGCCCUUUUGGGGAAAGAUUUAUCGGAGGAGGAUCGGCCCGCGUUGGAUUAGGUAGUUGGUGGGGUAAUGGCCUACCAAGCCUACGAUCCAUAGCUGGUUUUAGAGGAUGAUCAGCCACACUGGGACUGAGACACGGCCCAGACUCCUACGGGAGGCAGCAGUGGGGAAUCUUAGACAAUGGGCGCAAGCCUGAUCUAGCCAUGCCGCGUGAGUGACGAAGGCCCUAGGGUCGUAAAGCUCUUUCGCCUGUGAUGAUAAUGACAGUAGCAGGUAAAGAAACCCCGGCUAACUCCGUGCCAGC
rnacentral:rRNA from 1 species